rnacentral:rRNA from 1 species
AGUCGAGCGAGCUUGCCUAUUGAAAUUCUUCGGAAUGGACAUAGAUACAAGCUAGCGGCGGAUGGGUGAGUAACGCGUGGGUAACCUGCCCUUAAGUCUGGGAUACCAUUUGGAGACAGAUGCUAAUACCGGAUAAAAGCUACUUUCGCAUGAAAGAAGUUUAAAAGGCGGCGUAAGCUGUCGCUAAAGGAUGGACCUGCGAUGCAUUAGCUAGUUGGUAAGGUAACGGCUUACCAAGGCGAUGAUGCAUAGCCGAGUUGAGAGACUGAUCGGCCACAUUGGGACUGAGACACGGCCCAAACUCCUACGGGAGGCAGCAGUAGGGAAUCUUCCACAAUGGACGCAAGUCUGAUGGAGCAACGCCGCGUGAGUGAAGAAGGUUUUCGGAUCGUAAAGCUCUGUUGUUGGUGAAGAAGGAUAGAGGUAGUAACUGGCCUUUAUUUGACGGUAAUCAACCAGAAAGUCACGGCUAACUACGUGCCAGCAGCCGCGGUAAUACGUAGGUGGCAAGCGUUGUCCGGAUUUAUUGGGCGUAAAGCGAGCGCAGGCGGAUUGAUAAGUCUGAUGUGAAAGCCUUCGGCUCAACCGAAGAACUGCAUCAGAAACUGUCAAUCUUGAGUGCAGAAGAGGAGAGUGGAACUCCAUGUGUAGCGGUGGAAUGCGUAGAUAUAUGGAAGAACACCAGUGGCGAAGGCGGCUCUCUGGUCUGUAACUGACGCUGAGGCUCGAAAGCAUGGGUAGCGAACAGG